rnacentral:rRNA from 1 species
AGGGUUUGAUCCUGGCUCAGGAUGAACGCUGGCGGCGUGCUUAACACAUGCAAGUCGAACGAACCUUCGGGUUAGUGGCGGACGGGUGAGUAACGCGUGAGAAUCUGCCCUCAGGAGGGGGAUAACGGUUGGAAACGACCGCUAAUACCCCAUAUGCCUACUGGUGAAAUGAAUUUCGCCUGAGGAUGAGCUCGCGUCUGAUUAGCUAGUUGGUGAGGUAAUGGCUCACCAAGGCUUCGAUCAGUAGCUGGUCUGAGAGGAUGAUCAGCCACACUGGGACUGAGACACGGCCCAGACUCCUACGGGAGGCAGCAGUGGGGAAUUUUCCGCAAUGGGCGAAAGCCUGACGGAGCAACGCCGCGUGAGGGACGAAGGCCUCUGGGCUGUAAACCUCUUUUCUCAAGGAAGAAGAUAUGACGGUACUUGAGGAAUAAGCCACGGCUAAUUCCGUGCCAGCAGCCGCGGUAAUACGGGAGUGGCAAGCGUUAUCCGGAAUUAUUGGGCGUAAAGCGUCCGCAGGCGGCUUUUCAAGUCUGCUGUUAAAGCGUGGAGCUUAACUCCAUCAUGGCAGUGGAAACUGAAAGGCUUGAGUAUGGUAGGGGCAGAGGGAAUUCCCGGUGUAGCGGUGAAAUGCGUAGAUAUCGGGAAGAACACCAGUGGCGAAGGCGCUCUGCUGGGCCAUUACUGACGCUCAUGGACGAAAGCCAGGGGAGCGAAAGGGAUUAGAUACCCCUGUAGUCCUGGCCGUAAACGAUGAACACUAGGUGUCGGGGGAAUCGACCCCUUCGGUGUCGUAGCUAACGCGUUAAGUGUUCCGCCUGGGGAGUACGCACGCAAGUGUGAAACUCAAAGGAAUUGACAGGGGCCCGCACAGCGGUGGAGUAUGUGGUUUAAUUCGAUGCAACGCGAAGAACCUUACCAGGGUUUGACAUCCUGCGAACCUCUUAGAAAUUUGAGGGUGCCUUCGGGAAUGCAGUGACAGGUGGUGCAUGGCUGUCGUCAGCUCGUGUCGUGAGAUGUUGGGUUAAGUCCCGCAACGAGCGCAACCCACGUUUUUAGUUGCCAGCAUUUAGUUGGGCACUCUAGAAAGACCGCCGGUGAUAAACCGGAGGAAGGUGUGGAUGACGUCAAGUCAUCAUGCCCCUUACACCCUGGGCUACACACGUACUACAAUGCUACGGACAAAGGGCAGCAAACUCGCGAGAGCUAGCAAAUCCCAUAAACCGUGGCUCAGUUCAGAUCGUAGGCUGCAACUCGCCUACGUGAAGUAGGAAUCGCUAGUAAUCGCAGGUCAGCAUACUGCGGUGAAUACGUUCCCGGGCCUUGUACACACCGCCCGUCACACCAUGGAAGUUGGCCAUGCCCGAAGUCGUUACUCCAACCCUUGUGGAGGAGGACGCCGAAGGUGGGGCUAAUGACUGGGGUGAAGUCAUAACAAGGUAGCCGUA